rnacentral:lncRNA from 1 species
UUAGAGUGUCAGGUGAACAUUGUAGUGAUUUAUAGAACUUCCCGAAAUAACCUGAAUUAGGUAAAUAAAGGCAACAGUAGUAUACCGCUGUUCAAAACUCAUAUAUCGAUAGCGAAAACAACAAAUCCAGGUUAUAAACUAAAACUGAGGGAAACGCAUUAAAUAUAAGAGGAGAACAAUGACACAAAAGAAACACAACAUUAAAAUGUAACACACGCAGAAACGAACUAUAAUAUAACAAUUGCCAUUUUGGUCAUUUUAAGAAAAAAAUGAUGGGUUGAACCUGGUUUUAUGGCAUGCCAAACUCCUGCAAUAUUUUCGGUUAAAUGGGAUUCUAAAAUAAAAAGGUAAAAUAUAAUGACUGCUAUAUUUUGUCUCAGUCC